rnacentral:lncRNA from 1 species
UCGACUUCUUCAUCUCGUCCUAGCCUUCCGCAUGCAUACAUGGCGUCUCGGUCGCAAGUCGACCGCACCACUCAGAGCAGACGUUCCCGAGGUACGCGAGUUGAUACUGUCGUCUUCUACAUACACACAUACAUACAUCCAUCCAAACCCAUAGAUAUAAACAUAAACAUAUAUAUAAACAUAUAUAUAUUAUCUGUUGCAUUCGAAGGAGAGCGAUAUGCAAAAUACUAGAUUUGGUAGUAUUUUUUUUUGGAGGUUGAUAGGUCGAUAGGCGAAGGGGCAAGGCGAUCAACGGUGCCGGUGAGAGAGCGGCAGAAUGUAAGAGAGGGGAAUAUUGCGGGAUCCACGAGCCAGCUCACCCACACCCUCAAGAAUGCCAUGCUAUGCCCUUGAAUUUGGUUCAAGGGCAAUAGAAGAGAUGAGAUCAGCUGCAGCAAGGGGGACUGCGUAGAGUAGCUACGCUGAACAUGCCGGCAGUGGGAAAAUAAACAUCGGCAGUGUUAGGGCGUUUUGUGUGUGUGACCGUUUAGGAAAACAAACAGACCGGCCAACGUAGAGGACCCUUUUACCCGAAUCGAAAUAAAAAGUGAGUCCAGUCCAAAGGGAAAAUGAAUCCCAGAUUCAAUAUUUUUAAAACCCAUAGGGCGUAAAUUGUAUCGGCUGGCUUCCCGUAGAUGGGCCAAAAUUUCGAUUCCCCGGCCCGCGGAAUCCUGGUCACACCCCUGCCCGGGCGCGACCCGCCACAGCGCCACCGACAAUUAAAUAAUUAAUCCAUGCCUACAUGAACGCAUACCUAUCUACAUGCAUAUAUAAAGACACACCAAAAUAAUAUCUGUCUAUAUUAAUUCAUAUUUAAUUAAUUAGCCGCCCCACAUAUAUUUACCGACCCUAUUAAUGUAAUAUAAAUGUAGUAAUUGUAUUUAUAUUUAUUUUAAUAUUUAUAUUUAUUAUUUUUGUGAUUAUUCCCACCCAUUAAUUUAAGUUGAAGAGUCGGGAAUAGGCGGACGCGCCACGAGACAUUAGUAUAGGGAUUUUUAGUUAAGUAUGUGUUAAGUUUUUGGUUUAAAUAUUAUAACGUUUAAAAUUAAGUGCUAGUGUGUUUAGUAUGGGGGGGAAAGGGGACCACAACGGCGAAAUGGAGAAAGUCCUCCACACUUGGGAAGGAGAUCUGAGGUAUUCUGAGUCGCAUCUCAGGUAGAGUACGUAGGAGCUAGACCAUCGGCACCUCAGACUUGUCCACGUCUGUGUUGGAGAGAUGUUUGUCCGUUAGAUGUAGAGUAAAGUCCGCUGCAUUGUUUUGAAUUAUCGUUUGUUUUUGAUAUUUGUUCGAGAUGUCCGAACAGUUGGUUUGUUGUGCGACCUGGGGGCCUGGGAAGAACUCAGCCCUGGGAUGACUGGCUAGCCGGCCUUGCCCCAACACCAAAACAGGUUCGUAACAUAAUGGCGCCCAAUCUAAGACAAAUUUAUGAGUCGCAGUCCGUUCUCGAACACGAAAGUGGGAGAGUACGGCUGCGAAUCAUAAAGGUCAAAGAGAUUAUAAAUGUCCAGCCGAGAGGAACGUUCUCGAUUGGUAGUCUGCAGUCAGGGUCCGUCUGUGUNAUUAGCCGCCCCACAUAUAUUUACCGACCCUAUUAAUGUAAUAUAAAUGUAGUAAUUGUAUUUAUAUUUAUUUUAAUAUUUAUAUUUAUUAUUUUUGUGAUUAUUCCCACCCAUUAAUUUAAGUUGAAGAGUCGGGAAUAGGCGGACGCGCCACGAGACAUUAGUAUAGGGAUUUUUAGUUAAGUAUGUGUUAAGUUUUUGGUUUAAAUAUUAUAACGUUUAAAAUUAAGUGCUAGUGUGUUUAGUAUGGGGGGGAAAGGGGACCACAACGGCGAAAUGGAGAAAGUCCUCCACACUUGGGAAGGAGAUCUGAGGUAUUCUGAGUCGCAUCUCAGGUAGAGUACGUAGGAGCUAGACCAUCGGCACCUCAGACUUGUCCACGUCUGUGUUGGAGAGAUGUUUGUCCGUUAGAUGUAGAGUAAAGUCCGCUGCAUUGUUUUGAAUUAUCGUUUGUUUUUGAUAUUUGUUCGAGAUGUCCGAACAGUUGGUUUGUUGUGCGACCUGGGGGCCUGGGAAGAACUCAGCCCUGGGAUGACUGGCUAGCCGGCCUUGCCCCAACACCAAAACAGGUUCGUAACAUAAUGGCGCCCAAUCUAAGACAAAUUUAUGAGUCGCAGUCCGUUCUCGAACACGAAAGUGGGAGAGUACGGCUGCGAAUCAUAAAGGUCAAAGAGAUUAUAAAUGUCCAGCCGAGAGGAACGUUCUCGAUUGGUAGUCUGCAGUCAGGGUCCGUCUGUGUUCCGGUGGCCUGUGAGGAGCUUUGAAGGCUGGCUCGCAGAUGCACGGCACUGAGGGAUCUGUAAAUGUAGGAAUCCACAAAGUAAAUUGUUUUUUUUUUGGUUUGAGUUUAAACUUAUCUGACAGAGCGAAGCCGGAGCUCUCAAAGGGGUGAGGUUGGCACUGGCUGAGGAGAGUCCUCAAGCCGGUUAGCAACCGACCCGUUGCCUGGUGGACAAAAGAGAGCCUGGAAAGGAAAAUACCCGAAGUUAGUUAAGUUCGUGUAGUUUUUUUUUGUGCUGCUUCCCCUACUUACCGCUGGAGGACACCGGGAAAGUAGUAUGUCGUAGAGAUUUAUUUUGCUCGAGGUGGCCCGUGGGGACAUUAAGUCGGCCACGCGAUGCACCUGGAGCAGCUACAAGAUCCCGAAGCUAUCCUUCAGUAGAGUAGUGGGACAGAAGCAGCUAGGUAGCAGGGUGAGCGCCCUUGACUCUUAAUCUUCUGUAGAAGGUGAGAGGUCAACAGCGCUCGCGAAGAAGUUGAAGACGUUGGACAAGCAAAGACGUAGGGAACCAAGUGCAGAUGGCCCCAGUAGCAGUUGUGGUUACUUUCCCCUCUUAGUGUUGAUCUUGCAGUAAUUUGAAGUUCCGUGUCAGGUUUUGUUUGAUUUUUGAGUUUCUGUGGAAGAGAGAAAAGUAGGUGGUCAGAAAGUUUAUGAGCAACUACAAUUUACGGUCAAAGGGGAAAAUGACUAGCAGGACUCCUCCGCCAGGAAACUUGCCGGAACAGGGCGCAGAAGGAGGAGAGAACGACAGUUGGAACCAGCCGAAGUACCCAAAAGAAUUGCCGUCGGAAAUUCUUUCGGGCAUAAACGUCGCCAUAACACAAGCGCAGGAGACGCAGAGAGGAGCUAUGGCGGACACCAUCAGCAGGACGCUGCAAGAGGAGAUCCGUCGAGGAUUUAUGGAGCUGAUGAGUGCCAUAACGGAGGCAAUGACGCCCCUGCGCCAGAAGGGAGAGCUGAUCCAGGAUCUGGGCUGGGAGGAUGGUCCGAAUGGCAGAGAAGGCUCCAGAAUGGCGAAGACAUAGUACCGGCACCCGACCCAAAGGGUCCGUGGAACAACAGGAGCAUAUUCCACAAGCGCCUCCGAGGAAGCCGGAGAGACUGAGCCAAUAUUGGUCACGCAGGGUGGAAGAUGGUGGAAGCCUGGAAACGAGACCGAUGGUACCUGAACGUGAACCAGCAGGAGCGGCGAUACACGACGCCCUACGAGAGGCGAGACGACUGGAGAGAGCCGAGAUGGGGACGCAUCGACAAAUGGGACAUCCAUUUCGACGGCGACCCAGACCCGGCCAAACUGACGGUGGAGGAUUUUGUCUUUCGGGUCGAAUUUCUCCAGAGGCAGAGUCGACGCUCGUGGGACGAAGUCCUUGAUAAUUUUCACCAUCUGGUGAGAGGACGUACUGCCGAGUGGUACUGGCAGUUUGUAAGAGAGAGGCCUCCAGAAGUCUGGGAGGACUUAAAGGACGAGUUGGUACCCCGAUUCCGUACAGUAGGUGGGCAAUACGAGCGGCUGCGUGCGUUGAAUGAGCGACGGCAAGAAGCUGGAGAGUCGGUGGAAGAUUACUUUCGAGCGAUGCGGAGGCUGGCUGCAAGACUGAUCACCCCAAUAGCAGAUUCUGAGAUGGUCAGAGUCGUCAAGAAGGGACUCGAGGAGGAGAUCGCUCGUUAUGUGUACGCGAUCCGAGUCCGGAACCUGGAGCAGCUGAGGGAAGAGUGUGUAGAGGUGGAGCACCUUUUCCGCAGACGCGAGCGAAGGUCAGCUUUUCGCCCGACGCUGAAGUUCCAACAAUCCGGUAAGCGAGUGGAGGAGAUCGAGCCAGAGUCGGAGGAGCUGUUGGAAGGAGAGGAAGAGGUGAUGGUUGAGGAAACCCACCUGACAGCGAAGCCGAGGCUGGGCUGCUGGAAUUGCGGAGAAGUUGGCCACGGGUUUCGAGAGUGUAUGGCCAAGGAACGCAGAGUAUUCUGCUAUCUCUGCGGAAGGCCCGAAACGUACACGCCGAAGUGUCCCAACUGCUCGGGAAACGCAAGAACGGGCAUGAUGAAGGCGGGAUAUCAGAGCUCGGGACGGAAGCCCGCGAGGAAGUGAAGGAAGCGCUAUUGGAGGUUGUACAAAUUAAGCAUAUUAACCCAAGUAGUAUAGAAAAAAAUAGUUUAAAAUUCUUACCGGUCGAAGAGAGGAUGAGAAAGUAUAAACAAGCCCGAAAUCGGAUCUUUGACGGACAUCAGCUGAAUGGAAUGCGAGGUGUCAGCCGUAGACUCCAGAGGGCCCGUGCACGCUUCCGGCAAAGGAGACAGACUCGCAAGGAGGUGGCGGAAGCAGUCAGGCGUGGAGCAGGACGUGACCCAAGGGUUUUUGCCGAGGUGCAAAUUCUAGGACGGAAGAUUUCCGGACUCCUGGAUACUGGGGCAUCCGUAAGUGUCCUCGGAAAGGGCAGUCGUGAGCUCCUAGACGACCUCGGGGUGGAGAUGGACAACUAUAUCUCGAUCGUCAAAACCGCCGCAGGAGAGGACAGGACCAUAUUCGGCAAGGCGAGAAUCCCUGUGGAGUACAACGGAAUCAGCAAGGACAUUCUCUUUUACAUCUGUCCAUACCUGGAGCAAGUCAUGUACUUGGGGGUCAAUUUUUGGAGGUCGUUGGAGUUGGCUCCCACAGUCCUCGGUCCGUAUCCAAGUUCGACAAGCGAUGCCAAAAUAUCCGAAGUCCAGAUGUCACAGAUCAGUCAAUAUGUCGAAGACCACCAGGAGAACGUACAUGUGGACGCGUGGGACCUGGAAGAGAAGGAAGCUGAAAACUGGAGAAGGUAAAGGGGGAGUUCCUGACUUACGAAGAUGCCGGACUAGGGUCAACGACUGUAGAGGAGCAUCGGAUCCAGUUGGUAGAGGGCGCGGAGCCGUUUAAGGAUCGACACUACCCUCAAUCCCCAGCGAUGCAGGAAGUGGUCUGGACCGAAGUGGACAAGAUGCUGGAACUAGGAGUGAUAGAGGUUAGCGAUAGUCCGUGGAGCAAUAGGACGACGGUAGUGCGGAAACCUAACAAAAACAGAUUUUGUUUAGACGCCCGAAAGCUGAACCAACUCACCGUCAAAGACGCUUACCCNUUCCUGACUUACGAAGAUGCCGGACUAGGGUCAACGACUGUAGAGGAGCAUCGGAUCCAGUUGGUAGAGGGCGCGGAGCCGUUUAAGGAUCGACACUACCCUCAAUCCCCAGCGAUGCAGGAAGUGGUCUGGACCGAAGUGGACAAGAUGCUGGAACUAGGAGUGAUAGAGGUUAGCGAUAGUCCGUGGAGCAAUAGGACGACGGUAGUGCGGAAACCUAACAAAAACAGAUUUUGUUUGGACGCCCGAAAGCUGAACCAACUCACGUUGCAGAUGGAUCCUGAAAGAGUUUUGGCCACUCAAAGGAUUCCCAAUCCGAGUUCAGUGAAGGAACUAAGAAGCUUCCUAGGAACCGCAGGAUGGUAUAGGCGCUUCAUCAAGGAUUACGCUUCCAUUGCUGUGCCGCUAACAGACGCGCUGAAGAAGCAUCCGCGUGGAAAGUUUUCCCUGUCCACAGAGGCCGAGACGGCGAUAGGAUCCCUGAAGAAGGCACUCACCACGGCUCCGGUAUUAAGUCAUGCUGAUUUCAAGAAGCCUUUCUAUGUACAGUGCGACGCAUCGAAUUACGGAGUGGGAGCGGUGUUGUUUCAGUUGGACGUCGGAGGAGCCGAGCGUCCGGUGGCAUUCUUCUCCGCCAAGUUAAACAAGCAUCAGCUAAAUUAUUCUGUAACGGAAAAAGAGUGUUUAGCUGCGGUGUUGGCCAUUGAAAAAUUCCGACCGUACGUUGAAUUGAUGCCCUUCACGGUUAUUACGGAUCACGCCAGCCUGAAAUGGCUCAUGUCAUUGAAGGAUCUAAACGGACGUCUUGCGAGGUGGUCAUUGCGACUGCAGAGGUUUGACUUUGGGAUCGAACCCCGGAAAGGAGUCGACAACGUCGUGGCGGAUACACUCUCACGCUGCAUGCUGCUUCACCACUAUCUAGGUUGCCUCUAGGAGCCUAAGGUCUGCUGUCUCAAACUCAGAAGUCUUAUAGUCCUCGACUUUCUUCUUUAGCCGUUCUUAGUUCUGUACAACGGACUGGAUGCUCACCUUCCCCUACACUAUAAGUUCGCCAUGGCUUUCACGCAAAUGGACGACCAAGUGGAAGGGACCAUUUGGAAAGUAUGGAUUCCCGCGUCUCUGACGGAAACUCUCAUCUCCAAGGCCCACGAAGACCACACAGCUGGACACGGUGGACUUAAAAAGACCUUGCAUCGGCUUAGAAGGCAAUUCUACUGGCGUCGCUACUGCUGUGUUCACGCCCUCAUACAGGCCUUGACGCUACGAACAUUCCUCAGGUUUCGUGGGUUAAUAGCUUCGGUCCAUCCCUAGCCAGUCCUUCAGCAUUGCCUCUCCGGUAAGGUCUUUAAUAUGUAGCUAAAGGACCCCUUCAUAGGAGCCAGCUUUUCCCCUGUUCGAAGGAUUUUUGUCGUCGUAGACCACUUCUCUAAAUUCACCUUUCUAAAAGCGAUGAGAGAGGCGACAGCGGCGAACGUAGUUCAAUUCCUAGUACAGGAAGUGUUCUACAAGUUUGGGGUGCCCGAGGUGAUCCACUCCGACAACGGAAAGCAGUUCCUGUCGAAGAUCUUCCAGGACAUGAUUAGCACCUUCGGCGCCCGACAUCUGCGCACAGCAGUCUACUCACCACAGAGCAAUGCCGCCGAGAGGGUGAACCGGACAAUAUUAGCUGCAAUCAGGACGUAUUUAGAGAAGGAUCAUCGAGACUGGGACAUGUACCUACCGGAGAUUGAAGUGUCGAUCCGUGACUCAGUGCACGAAGCCACAGGCGUGACGCCGUUUUUUGCAGUUUUUGGACAGCAAAUGUUCCUUAAUGGGAACUGCUAUAAGUUGGCGAGGAAGCUGCAGUCGCUAACGGAGCAUGAGGUGCACGCAUUGGACCCCGCGGAUAAGUGCCACAUCAUCCGGGAACGUAUCAAGGCCAACCUUCACCAAGCGUACGAGCGCAGCAGCCAGCGCUACAACAAACGGGCCCGAAUAUUUUUCGCCAAACCUGGGCAAGAAGUAUACAGGCGCAACUUCACCAUCAGCGACUUUGGGAAGAGCUACAACGCCAAAUUCGCCCGGAAGUUCCUGAAGUGCCGAGUCGUACGUCCGGUUGGAAAUAAUGCCUACGAACUUGAAGACCUGGCGGGGAAACCGGUGGGGAUUUUUCACGCCAAAGACCUGAAAUUGUAGUGGGAAAGCUUUAGAAAGAGAAGGGAAGAAGAAUAGGGCACUCAUGUACAAACCGAGUGGGUGUGAGCCUACGUUGGGCGCUGCAAGUCCUUAGGGAAAGCGUUAGGUUUCAAUGUCCUUCGAGUGUUUGCGAAUAAUUCUUCCGUCCAGGCACGCCUGAAUUUUCGCUAGGUGUUGCAUUCGAAGGAGAGCGAUAUGCAAAAUACUAGAUUUGGUAGUAUUUUUUUUUGGAGGUUGAUAGGUCGAUAGGCGAAGGGGCAAGGCGAUCAACGGUGCCGGUGAGAGAGCGGCAGAAUGUAAGAGAGGGGAAUAUUGCGGGAUCCACGAGCCAGCUCACCCACACCCUCAAGAAUGCCAUGCUAUGCCCUUGAAUUUGGUUCAAGGGCAAUAGAAGAGAUGAGAUCAGCUGCAGCAAGGGGGACUGCGUAGAGUAGCUACGCUGAACAUGCCGGCAGUGGAAAAAUAGACAUCGGCAGUGUUAGUGAGUUUUGUGUGUGUGACCGUUUAGGAAAAAGAAAGACCGGCCAACGUAGAGGACCCUUUUACCCGAAUCGAAAUAAAAAGUGAGUCCAGUCCAAAGGGAAAAUGAAUCCCAGAUUCAAUAUUUUUAAAAUCCAUAGGGCAUAAAUUGUAUCGGCUGGCUUCUCGUAGAUGGGCCAAAAUUACCAUUCCCCGGCCCGCGGAAUCCUGGUCACACCCCUGCUCGGGCGCGACCCGCCACAGCGCCACUGACAAUUAAUAUAAUUAAUCUAUGCCUACAUAAACGCAUACCUAUUUACAUGCGUAUAUAAAGACACAAAGACACACAAAAAUAAUAUCUGUCUAUAUUAAUUAAUAUUCAAUUAAUUUGCCACCCCACAUAUAUUUACCGACCAUAUUAAUGUAAUAUAAAUGUAGUAUUUGUAUUUAUAUUUAUUUUAUUAUUUAUAUUUAUUAAUUUUUUUGAUUAUUCCCACCCAUNAGGGCAAUAGAAGAGAUGAGAUCAGCUGCAGCAAGGGGGACUGCGUAGAGUAGCUACGCUGAACAUGCCGGCAGUGGAAAAAUAGACAUCGGCAGUGUUAGUGAGUUUUGUGUGUGUGACCGUUUAGGAAAAAGAAAGACCGGCCAACGUAGAGGACCCUUUUACCCGAAUCGAAAUAAAAAGUGAGUCCAGUCCAAAGGGAAAAUGAAUCCCAGAUUCAAUAUUUUUAAAAUCCAUAGGGCAUAAAUUGUAUCGGCUGGCUUCUCGUAGAUGGGCCAAAAUUACCAUUCCCCGGCCCGCGGAAUCCUGGUCACACCCCUGCCCGGGCGCGACCCGCCACGGCGCCACCGACAAUUAAAUAAUUAAUCCAUGCCUACAUGAACGCAUACCUAUCUACAUGCAUAUAUAAAGACACACCAAAAUAAUAUCUGUCUAUAUUAAUUCAUAUUUAAUUAAUUAGCCGCCCCACAUAUAUUUACCGACCCUAUUAAUGUAAUAUAAAUGUAGUAAUUGUAUUUAUAUUUAUUUUAAUAUUUAUAUUUAUUAUUUUUGUGAUUAUUCCCACCCAUUAAUUUAAGUUGAAGAGUCGGGAAUAGGCGGACGCGCCACGAGACAUUAGUAUAGGGAUUUUUAGUUAAGUAUGUGUUAAGUUUUUGGUUUAAAUAUUAUAACGUUUAAAAUUAAGUGCUAGUGUUUUUAGUAUGGGGGGAAAGGGGACCACAACGGCGAGAUGGAGAAAGUCCGCCACACUUGGGAAGGAGAUCUGAGGUAUUCUGAGUCGCAUCUCAAGUAGAGUACGUAGGAGCUAGACCAUCGGCACCUCAGACUUGUCCACGUCUGUGUUGGAAAGAUGUUUGUCCGUUAGAUGUAGAGUAACGUCCGAUGCAUUGUUUUGAAUUAUCGUUUGUUUUUGAUAUUUGUUCGAGAUGUCCGAACAGUUGGUUUGUUGUGCGACCUGGGGGCCUGGGAAGAACUCAGCCCUGGGAUGACUGGCUAGCCGGCCUUGCCCCAACAUCAAAACAGGUUCGUAACAUAUCCCUAUACUGUGUCGCCUUUUUUUUCGUGAUUUUCCGAGGAUUUAUCUGCAGCGACAGGAAGCCGCACUCCCACAAACAUGGGUCCUUCGAGCCGGCUUCUUGCUGAAUCGAGAGUGUCCCAGCAAUCAUCGGUGGAUUCCAAAAAAAAAAAAAACAAAACUGCAGGUGAGUACGCUCACAUUUCCAUAUGUACAUAUAUUCUCAUGUACAUAUUGUCCGAUCCCGCUAAGAAUUUUCGUGUAAUUUUAUCCGCUACACCGCCAUAAUAUCGGCGUCCGACAUUUACAUAUGUACGUGCAUAUGUUUGUCAGAUCAGCACGCAAACACCCCGCCCCCAAAUAAAACACUCCUUCGAAAUGUUUUAUUGGCGUUAUUCAUUUCCAUAGAUUUGUAUAUUCUUACAUUCUAUAUUUACAGUGGAUAUUUUUUUUUUUUUUUGGGUUUUAUGUUACCGCUCCACCCUUGGGUUAAGGGGGAUUAUUUGGCCGCCCGCCUUUACAAGGUGGAAAUCGCCACGUCGAGAUUUGUAACUUGUUACAGUUUUACUCCAAUACUUACCUGGCGUAGAGGUUAUCUUUUAAUUGCCAUUUUAAUUUAGAAAAAAACUAAAAGUCCGACGCCCAUUAUAGUGUGACCGCAAUCGGAAUACAUUGGAUAUUUAAGUUAAAUAAUAAACAGCAUUAAUCCCGGGAAAAAUACCACCAAAAUACCAAAAACGACACUUCUACCACUAACCAAAUAGUAUAGUAGAUGGUCAAUUUGGAGGAAGCGAAACGUCACCGCAAAAAGUGCGUCGGGAAGUCCCAGGCCUCUGCCAACGUCGCAGCUACAAGUAUUGGUACAAUAACAACUUUUAUUGGUAUAUUUAUUUUUUCUAACCCCCAAAGGUCCGGCCACCAAUCCCCACCCCUCAUUCUGCACAUGAUGCAGUAGGUCAGUUUCAUACGCCAAACCCCGAAAACAAAAUCAAAUCAUCAAAACGAAUUUUCGUUCCAUCGCACUUCAGAAAGUCAGCGCACCAACACAUACAUUACUUGCAGUGUCCGUGUGAAUCAAGCCAGAACCGGUUUGGAGCGCUAAAAAAUCAUUGGCUACACGCACUUACACAGAUGUAGCUGGGACUUCUGGCUGCGUGCUCUACACGCACUAAUACAAAUGUAGCUGGGACUUCUAGCUGCGUGUUCUACACGCACUAAUACUUGUAGCUGCGACAUUGGCAGAGGCCUGGGACUUCCCGACGCACUUUCUGCGGUGACGUUUCGCUUAUAGGCAGCUGAUAGUCUGCUAUAUUAUUUGGUUAGUGCUUCUACAUACCACACUUGGUAUCUGUCUGCGCCUACGCGUUAGUCCCAUACGCGGUACCAGCACUCCGCUGCAUAUGCAAAUUUCGCGAUUACCGAGAUUCUAAGCAUUCCAGGCGCACCUGAAGCGACCCACAGCCAAAAGAAUUUCCCCCAAAUCCCGGAUAAAUUAAUCCGACAAAAGGCACAGCUCAUUUCCGCAGCCUUUUUUAAGUUUUUUCUCGCCAAUUUCCAAAUUGCCAAAAAUCUAGAGGUGAAAAACAAACACACUCUUAUCCAUCCGAGUGGACUAAAUAAAAUCCAAUAAAGAUAUAUAACGAGAAGGGCCGUGUGAGACGCUUCUUACGCGUCACAACUUUUACACCCGGCACUCAAUACUACAUCUGCACCUUAGCGGUUAUUUGUCAAAUUUUACAUUUUUUCUUCAUCUGUCAUCUACAUCUACAACACUUUUCACACCAAUACGCUCCGUUAGCUCGCCGCCCUUCCCUAGACACACACACUGCAGGCACGAGGCAGAGGCGUCCGCACAAAAAAAAAAAAAUACAAACAAAAGCUGCGGGACGGGGAGGCUUAAAAGUAGGAAGAGGCAUCGGCAGGGGGAGGGCAGAGGCAGGGGCCGAGUGAAGCAGAAGCAGAGUGUGAAUGAGAGAAUGUAAAAAGAACAAGAAAAGCAACGGGACAGGUUGGGUUUAGCCACUGGAAAUUAAUUUCACCAGUGUGGGUAUAAGAAUGAUCCAAUCGGAUCCCAAAAAAAAUUCAAAAUUGUAGAUCUAUGAGGUUUUUUGGGUGGAAGGGGGCGUGGCUCAUUUUUUAAAUACACUGGUGUGUUCAGUGUGAGCAUAUAGCACUCUGGAUGCAAAAUUUGGUGGCUCUAGCUCUUAUAGUCUCUGAGAACUAGCCGACAAACAAGACGGACAGACGGGCAGACUGACAUUCUAUCGACUCGUCUAUUGAUUCUAAUCAAGAAUAUAUAUACUUUAUGGGGUCGGAAACGAUUCCUUCUGUGCGUUACAUACAACCGUUAUUCCCCACAAAUACAAUAUACCCUAUUUACUCUUCGAGUACCGGGUAUAAAAAUAUCGUAGUCUAGUGCGGAUUCCGAUUUCGACUUUUUGGUGCAUUAAAACCACUGCCAAUAAGAAAAUAUUAUUUUUCUUGAGGUAUAUCGUCCGAUAGUUUUCUCGUGCUUGAUAGAGAAACAAUUCCUUGUUUUUCCAUCGAUAGGCUGACCACCUUGGAAGCACGGCUCACCACUUCCGGGACCACCACCCCAUUUUCCUCGGUUUCGAAGGUCCGUCGUGACCAGCUCCAAAACAUGUAUGGCGAAUGCUAUGAGGGCUACGAGCUGUGCUUAGCGGGCCUUAUUGCCCAAAUUGACCGCCCAUAAGUUCGUCCUCCAGUGCCGCAAGCCUCCCAGGGCGGCUGUCAUCUGCCCCCCUGUGAUAUUGAAGUUUUCACAGGGGAUUAAGUCCGCUGGCCUACGUUCCGGGACUUAUUCACCGCGACAUAUAUCGACAAUCCGAGGCUAUCUCCAGUGGAGAAGCUGUAACACAUCUCCACGAAGACCCGUGGCGAUCCGAAAGCCAUAGUCGAAAAGUCCCCACUCACCAACAACGGUUUCGAGGCAGCAUGGUCAGCCCUCCGUAACCGAUAUGAAAAUAAUCGACUCAUGGUGCCUCGCGUGGGUUCCGAGACCAGUCGUGCCUGGAAAAACCUUCAGAGCACCAUUCAAGGGGUUCUAACCGCCCUGGCUCACUCCAAGGUCUGCACAGACAUAGGGACAGUCUUCUUGUUACUAUCUGUGCUUCCAAGCUACCAAAACUGACCCAGGCUCUGUGGGAAGCGUCAGUAACUGACAAAAAGCCUCCCUGGACGGAAAUAGACUCCUUCCUCACAUAGCGAUACUUUACGCUAGAGGCCAUGGAGAGCGACCCUUCCCAGACUAGGAGCGAUCCGCAUCCGCCACCGUCCAAAGGCAAAACAAAUCCGAAACCCUCCGGAAGCCACGCCAACCCGUUCCGGUCUCAAGGUAGUCCUCCUCCGAGGAAUUUUCAAUCCUUCAGUACCCGCGUGAAUCCGAAGAAGUGUGAUCUCUGUUCCAAGGAAAAUCACCCAAUCCAACUAUGCCCGCACUUCCUCCAAAUGGACGUUGAAGCACGUUCUAGCUGCAUUAAGACGAAGCAGUUGUCCUUAAAUUGUUUUGCACGAGGUCGCCAGCUACGAUAGUGUACAAGCGCCCACAAUUGCGUGCCGUGUGGAGCCCGUCACCACAUGCUCCUGCAUCGCGGUACUCCAGCAUCCCGUGAGUCGUCCACAUCCGUACCCAAUUCUACAGCUUGGCCAGGCCCAAGCCCAAGUACAUACUACACAGAAUUCAGGUUUAUCCGAACCUCAAUCUCAUGUCCAGACAUAUUUUACCUGCAUGCUCCGCUCCGUUCCGCAAAUUACUAAUGCUUCUUCAACUUCGUCAUUUCGUCCUAGCCAAGUCGACCGCACCAUUCCGAGCAGACUUUCCGGAGGUACUGAGUCCUACCAAUGCCGAGUCUGCUCUGAAAUCCAUCCACUACGGAAGUGUCGCCGAUUUCUCCGCCUAAGGACCGAAGAUAGGCUCCGAGCUGUCCGAAACUUCAGCUACUGCACCAAUUGCCUGGCUCACCAGCACUCCGGACAGGAUUGCCGAAGCGGCGACCGGUGUACGGUGUGUGACCGGAGACACCACACG